CGCGGAGGCCACGCCCCCCUCGGGGGGGUUUUCCCGCCCCUCGCGUUUCCCGCCCGCCAGGGGGCGCUGAGGGGAGAGCGGGGCAAAGAUGGCUGAGGAGGCCGUGAGGGGGAUCCUGGAGCAGCUCCUGGUGGCCCUGGGGACCCCCAAAAAUGGGGAGCCCCGACGGGGAGCUCUGCUGGUGGCCCUGACAGAGGGGAAGGGCCCGGGGGGGCCCCCCUGCAUCUUCACAGUGGCCGCCACGGGACCCCUCGGCCAUGACCUCGACCCUGAAGUGCUGGAAGGAGCUCCCCGAGGGGUGCAGGAGCUGCCGGGAGCCCCCCCAAGUCCCCCCCCCUGCUGCAGGCAGAUCCUGGCUCGGGCUCAGGUGCAGAGGAGCUUCCAGGUGAGUUUUGGGGGGCUCGGGGGGGGAUUUUGGGGUCCCCCCUCUCUCUGAGUUCUUUCCCAGCCCUCCAGAGUCACCUUAGGGGGGUGAAUUGGGG
rnacentral:lncRNA from 1 species